rnacentral:rRNA from 1 species
CACGUAGGAGGCGAGCGUUGUCCGGAAUCAUUGGGCGUAAAGAGCGCGCAGGCGGCUUGGCAAGUCGGGUGUGAAAUCCCGGGGCUCGACCCCGGGACUGCAUUCGAUACUGUCAGGCUAGAGGUAGGUAGGGGAGAUCGGAAUUCCUGGUGUAGCGGUGAAAUGCGCAGAUAUCAGGAGGAACACCGGUGGCGAAGGCGGAUCUCUGGGCCUUACCUGACGCUCAGGCGCGAAAGCGUGGGGAGCGAACGGG